rnacentral:pre_miRNA from 1 species
UAUAAGUGCAACCAUAAGUUUCCGCGCCCAACUUUGAUCGUUCGUCUUAUUUGAAAGUUUUUUAUAAUUAGUAUUUUUAUUGUUAUGAGAUGAUAAAAUAUAAAUAGUACUUUACUCGUGACUUAUGUUUUUAAAUUUUUUUAAAAAUUUUUCAAAUAAGACGGACGGUUAAAGUUGGGCGCGGAAAACCAUGGCUGUACUUAUA